CCUAUGAUAAGAUUGGUUUUGCAUGUUAACUUAAAUAGUAUUGAUAAUUGAUGAUGAGUUCUAAUUUUAAUCAUGAUGAUAAUCUGAGCCUGUAUGAAACUUAUGUAACCGGUUAGCACUUAAAGUUUAACUGUUUUAAUCCACUUGGUUCAAGGGUUUCAUAAUUUAUUUCUGAGGGAAAAUCUUUGUUAAAAUUUAAGGAAAUUAGUGAACUGGCGGUAAAGGUUGGAAUGACGUAAAAGCUUGAGUUUGGGGGAA
rnacentral:lncRNA from 1 species